AUCAAGGAGAGGAACAGGUGUACUUAUUUUAUAGGGGUAUCUGUAAUUAUAAUUGGGAAAAUAUGAUACAUGCUAUGCUAUGCUAUGCUAUGCUAUAUACUUAGUUUAAAUUUGGAACUAUAUUUUCUCAGCCUCAGUUUCUUCAUCUGCAGACAAGAACGUUAACUGUUUUCUCUUCCUCAAGCUCUAGCAUUCUAAACUAAAUGAGGAAUUAUAAAAGCUACCGAACUAAAGGAGAAAUUACAAAGGAAAUUGCAAGAACCUAUUGAUGGCUUGGAUGCUCUGGUGGUGACAGCAAGUCCUCUUCUCUUGACUGAAGAAAUGUCUUCCCCUAUCUGAAAAGUGGCCUCUCUUCCGGAAUGACACAUACUGACUUUUGAAGAAGCAAAAGGAUACCUGCUGGCCAGUCAUAUCAGCCAAAAAACUCUGGUGAGCAGUGAGUUGGCAGAUGUUGCAACUGGAAGACUGUGGCAUCAACAGAGCCCCAAAGCAAUAAUCUCUCUUUCUCUUCGCCCCCACUAAUCCAGCAAUCAAAUAAUCACUUUUAAGCAUUUACUGUGCACCACCAUAUAACAUAAAAUGUGAUGAAUAGCUAGGUAUAUAUAUGACAACCUCUAAAUUCUCAAAAUAUUAUAAUAAAUUAAGAAAGCAAGAGUUGUGCAUGUAAAAAGACAAUUAACUACAUAGGGAGAAGGCAGUGAACACAUUUAGUGCAUCUCCCCUGUACCGGUCACUGUGUGAGGUGCUGUACAAGUACUAAUUUAUCUAAUCCCCACCAAAUCCCUGGCAGGCAUUUCUAUCCUUGUUCUGUGGAUGAUGUGGGAGUUAGAGAUAUUUAAUAACUUGCCCAAGAUCACAUAGCUACAAAAGUGUGGGGCCUGUUUUCAGGUUUAGAUGUAUCUAACUCUGUAAUCUGUGCUCCAUAACUAUCCCACACCUACCAACGAGAGAAAUCAGAGCUCAAAGACAUCAUUUAGUAUGGCUGGGGAAUGACAAGACUUUAAAAUGCCUAUUGGCAAAACACAUUGAUAAAGUUAUACCAAGUCCAUUAACUUCUCUGGGAAAUAUUUCUAGCUAGAGGAAAAAUGCCUGGAUUCUGGAAGCAGGGAUGGUGGAGUGGAAAUGACAGCACACCAGUCUCAGCUCAGCCAUUAUCCACACGUGUUCAUCCCAGCAAGUUGCUUCAUGCUUCUAGGCUUUGUGUCAUCAUCCAUAGUAUAGAGUGUUUCUAGAUUGCCUAAUGUCACUCACACUACGUCGCUGGGCAGGUGUGUGGUACACUAGCUCUAACAUCAAGCAGACCUGAGUUUGAAUCCUGGCUCCGUCUUCAAGCAAUGGGCUCUUGGGCAAGUAAUUUUCCCAUCUGUAAAAAUGGAGAUGAUAAUACCUACCUCAGGGUCUUUGCCCUUAUUGUUCAUUCUCCUGGGGACAGUCUUUCCCAGAUAUCCGCAAAGGUCACUCUUUUACCUCCUUCAGGUCUUCACUCAACUUACCUUUUUGUGAGAACUUUCUUGAACACAAUAGCUAAACUUGUAAACCAUCUGGCAUUUCCUAUCCUCUUUCCUCAUUUUAUUAUUUUCCUUAGCACUCAAUACCUAACAUACUAUAUAGCACUCAAUUAUCUUAUUUAUUGCCUCUUUCCCACCUCUAGAAUGUAUGCUCUAUAAGGGCAGGAUUUUUUGUAUUCUUUACUGCUGUAUCCCCAGUUUCUAGAAUGAUUUAGGUGAUUAAUAAAUAUUUCUUGCAUAAAUGAA
rnacentral:lncRNA from 1 species